AUAAACAAUGAACAAUUUUAUGGA
rnacentral:piRNA from 1 species